CAGUCGCCGCGUAAUACGUAGGGUGCGAGCGUUAAUCGGAAUUACUGGGCGUAAAGCGUGCGCAGGCGGUUGUGUAAGACAGGUGUGAAAUCCCCGGGCUUAACCUGGGAACUGCGCUUGUGACUGCACAGCUAGAGUAUGGCAGAGGGGGAUGGAAUUCCGCGUGUAGCAGUGAAAUGCGUAGAUAUGCGGAGGAACACCGAUGGCGAAGGCAAUCCCCUGGGCCUGCACUGACGCUCAUGCACGAAAGCGUGGGGAGCAAACAGGAUUAGAUACCCCAGUAGUCCCUGUCUCUUAUACC
rnacentral:rRNA from 1 species